CGAGAAUAUUAUCCUGAUUAAUGUCCGUAGGCUUCGUGCUCGUACUAGAUCCGAGCUUUAAAGACCCGACUGCUAAAGGCUAGGAUUCAAAUUUUGCUCGUUAGCUAUCGGAUUCGGGAUCAUUGAAGUCGAAGUCAUCCACACUAUCAAAGCCCCCAUUUUGGUACAAUUUUGGUUGAACUUUGAAAUGGCAUGUAUAGGACUACCCUUUUGUUGUAGGUUAUGUACCUUUCGGUUUUGUGUAAAUUCGGAUAGCCAUGCGAAAAUGGCUUAUAUACAUUUCUAGCAUAGUACUAUAAUCGUUUGUAUGUUGAUCAUUAUGAGGUAUGGAAUUGUUUUGAAACGAUUAGCCAUUGGAAUGGUUAAUCAUGAUCA